GUGCCAGCAGCCGCGGUAACACGGAGGGGGCAAGCGUUGUUCGGAAUUACUGGGCGUAAAGGGCGUGUAGACUGCUUAGCAGGUCAGAUGUGAAAUCCCAGGGCUCAACUCUGGAAUUGCGUUGGAAACCGUUAAGCUUGAGGCUAGAAGAGGAAAGCGGAAUUCCUGGUGUAGCGGUGAAAUGCGUAGAUAUCAGGAGGAACACCGGUGGCGAAAGCGGCUUUCUAGGCUAGUACUGACGCUGAUGCGCGAAAGCGUGGGGAGCGAACGGGAUUAGAUACCCCGGUAGUCCACGCCGUAAACGUUGAGCACUAGGUGUAGCGGGUAUCGACCCCUGCUGUGCCGCAGCAAACGCAUUAAGUGCUCCGCCUGGGGAUUACGCACGCAAGUGUAAAACUCAAAGGAAUUGACGGGGCCCCGCACAAGCGGUGGAGUAUGUGGUUUAAUUCGAUGCAACGCGAAGAACCUUACCAGGGCUUGACAUGUUGGUUUUAGGGAUCCGAAAGGUGACCGACCCUUCGGGGAGCCAUCACAGGUGCUGCACGGCUGUCGUCAGCUCGUGUCGUGAGAUGUUGGAUUAAGUCCCGCAACGAGCGCAACCCCU
rnacentral:rRNA from 1 species